rnacentral:lncRNA from 1 species
CUUUUCUUGUGGAGGUCUCGAAAGCGAGUAGCCUCCGCAGUGGCCUCUGAAUGGCUCUCCCUUAGCCGGUGAAGUUCGUCUUCCAGUUUCUUGGAUUUUCUCGUCAACUGACGAACUUCCCUUUGGAGGCCUCGAAUCAUCGACUUCAGAGGAAUCUCCUCCGGCAGGGGAAGAGCUUCGGCAGGGUACUGUCGUUGGAAGACAAGAGCGCCAUGACUCAAAUUAAUGCAAGAAGACAAAAAAGAAGGAAAAGAAUACAAAAAAAAGAAAAAAGAAGAAGAAGA